AUAUAUAUAAAGUGGAGUUUUCUCUCACUUCCUACUGCCACAUCAUCUCUAUGCAUAGGGCAUUUUGUGCCACCUGUCCACUUCUUAAAAAAAACUAUCGGCAAGUUUAUGUUUUCACUGUGUUUUGUGUAUUGGGCCAAGUGCAUUGAAUCAUGUUUAAUUCAUAAGACCCAAUAGUGCUGGUCCACCUCCGUAUCUCCUCGGAUCUCGACGCCUCCGGCAGCGGCUACCGUUUGUAUUCUUCUGACGUAUUAGAUCAACCAUUUACGUUUCAGUGGGCUUUAAAUACAUAUGCUAUAAAACAAAAGAUUUCUAUUGAUGAAUUUAAGAAACAGGCAUGUAACCAGACGGUUGUUACACGUCUUCUAUGUUUCUUGAGGCGCUUGAUGUGAAAAGAGGGUGAGCUCAUGGUCGCGGACAUGAUGCUUCUUGAUGAAAAGGAUGCCGUGAAUGAGAGACACUCUUAUUCUAUGGAACCGAAGAAGCUACUAAAGAAAGAAAGUCUUACUGCUUGAAAACUCUGUUGAAUUUCCCAGUAAACUCUUGACUGGAAAGGUGAACCUAAGGAAUCUGAAGUCACAUUCCUAGCUUUAACAUUCAGUUAUAAAGUUAAUCACAACACUGAGUUGCUACCUUUGGUACACUCCCCAAGUCCUACCAAACAGAUGUAUGUAUUUUCUUAAGAAAUAUUUUUUCAAAUC